rnacentral:rRNA from 1 species
AGUGAACGNUGGCGGCGUGCCUAAUACAUGCAAGUCGAACGGAGAUUAAGUAGCUUGCUAUUUAAUCUUAGUGGCGCACGGGUGAGUAAUAUAUAGCUAAUCUGCCCUACACUAGAGGACAACAGUUGGAAACGACUGCUAAUACUCUAUACUCCUUCUAAGCAUAAGCUUAGUCGGGAAAGUUUUUCGGUGUAGGAUGAGGCUAUAUCGUAUCAGCUAGUUGGUAGGGUAACGGCCUACCAAGGCUAUGACGCGUAACUGGUCUGAGAGGAUGAUCAGUCACACUGGAACUGAGACACGGUCCAGACUCCUACGGGAGGCAGCAGUAGGGAAUAUUGCUCAAUGGGGGAAACCCUGAAGCAGCAACGCCGCGUGGAGGAUGACACUUUUCGGAGCGUAAACUCCUUUUCUUGGGAAAGAAUUAUGACGGUACCCAAGGAAUAAGCACCGGCUAACUCCGUGCCAGCAGCCGCGGUAAUACGGAGGGUGCAAGCGUUACUCGGAAUCACUGGGCGUAAAGGACGCGUAGGCGGAUUAUCAAGUCUCUUGUGAAAUCUAACGGCUUAACCGUUAAACUGCUUGGGAAACUGAUAAUCUAGAGUAAGGGAGAGGCAGAUGGAAUUCUUGGUGUAGGGGUAAAAUCCGUAGAGAUCAAGAAGAAUACCCAUUGCGAAAGCGAUCUGCUGGAACUUAACUGACGCUAAUGCGUGAAAGCGUGGGGAGCAAACAGG